GGUAAUUUGUCAUGUUCAAGAGUUAUGGUCUGGUUUACUUUAAAGUUCAGUUAAUCUGGAGUGCUGGUAUUGCCCUAAGAGAUCUGUUUUCGCUUCAGUGGUCUGUUCUAUUCUGGAAAUCUUGAUCCAAUCAAGGCUGGUGGGCCACCAGACGUGGCAUUAAGCCCAUAGCCUGGUUUCAAGUUGAGAUAUCACUUGGAACUUCAGGUCAUCGUCAGGCUCAGGUGUAUAAGUGUGAAAUUAAAUGUGUGUCUCGUGGAUUUCUGUGUAGUAUGUUAAAAUGGGUCAGUCCUCAUCAUUGAACUCUCAGACCCCACUAGCAUGCAUUCUUAAGAAUUUUCAGCUGUUUUAGAAGGUAGCACUUGAUUAUGGAAUUUGAGUUUCCCCUGCUACACUCUGCACCUUGUGUCAGUUGGAGUGGCCCACAUUCAAGGUUAAAUAACCUCCAGAGGGGACUGCAAAUCUCUCCAUGGCCUACAUGGUCCGGAGAAAGCUGUAAGAUUAUAUGGAAGGUGCGAAAAGAGUUUAAGAUGCAGUUUCACAAAGAGGAAUUUCUUCAUAGUGGCAGUUGGCCAUUCCCUCCACCUACAUUCCAAACCUUCCAAACUCCAGUAUGGAAGACUACAUGGGGGAAGCUGUGCCUGCGCCAUCAGCAAGCUUCCAAGCAAUACCUGUUCAAUUAUUUUUUCCUCUUUCUUCCUUGGAUGGGCCCCCAAGGGAGAAAAAAGGAGAAAAAAAAAUCCAGAGCAGAAAAGGGAAAUUUUACUCCAGAAUUUGAGAAAACACAAAUUUUGUGUAAUGUUCCAGGGGACCAAAAGAAAUGGGCAAUUAGAGCAGAGAGGACAUAAAGAAAAAAUGAUGGGUAAGAAACAAAAUUGCUCACUCCUUUUUAACCUUCAGACUAUAAUCAUUUUCUGCACAAACUUCCAGAUCUUCCCCUUAUUUCAGUCAACUACAUCUCUCCCUUAAAUAUCAUCCUUCACACACACCUAAUCAGAUGGUGAUUGCCUGCUAUCAAGAGAUCCAAGGAAUGGCACGGCAUACAGCAAACAAUGUUGUCUAUUUUGGUAGCCCAGCAGAAAGGGAACUGGACUUGGCAUUUAAAGACAUGUCAGCCUGUCUAAGGCUCAAUUUCCUCAUCUAUAAAAUGGAUACACAGUAUUUACCCAAUAUCUCUUUAAGAGGUGUUAUGGGCAUCAAAUGAAAUAAUAAAUGAGAAGUACAUUGAUGUAAAAUAUUAUUA
rnacentral:lncRNA from 1 species